rnacentral:rRNA from 1 species
AUUGAACGCUGGCGGAAUGCUUUACACAUGCAAGUCGAACGGCAGCUCGGGUGCUUGCACCUGGUGGCGAGUGGCGAACGGGUGAGUAGUAUAUCGGAACGUAUCCAAUAAUGGGGGAUAACUAAUCGAAAGGUUGGCUAAUACCGCAUACGCCCUGAGGGGGAAAGCUGGGGAUCUUCGGACCUAGCGUUAAUGGAGCGGCCGAUAUCUGAUUAGCUAGUUGGUGAGGUAAAAGCUCACCAAGGCGACGAUCAGGAGCUGGGCUGAGAGGACGACAAGCCACACUGGAACUGAGACACGGUCCAGACGCCUACGGGAGGCAGCAGUGGGGAAUUUGGGACAAUGGGGGCAACCCUGAUCCAGCCAUUCCGCGUGAGUGAAGAAGGCCUUCGGGUUGUAAAGCUCUUUCGCAAGGGAAGAAAACUUAGUCUCUAACAUAGACUGAGGUUGACGGUACCUUGAUAAGAAGCACCGGCUAACUACGUGCCAGCAGCCGCCGUAA